rnacentral:rRNA from 1 species
CUGGUUGAUCCUGCCAGAGGUUACUGCUAUCGAGAUUCGACUAAGCCAUGCGAGUCGAAUGUUCUUCGUGAACAUGGCGAACUGCUCAGUAACACGUGGACAACCUACCCUUGGGUUCGGCAUAAUCCUGGGAAACUGGGGAUAAUACCGGAUAGGUCACAGCUGCUGGAAUGCACUGUGGCUCAAAGCUCCGGCGCCCAAGGAUGGGUCUGCGGCCUAUCAGGGUUGUAGUGGGUGUAAUGUACCUACUAGCCUACGACGGGUACGGGUUGUGAGAGCAAGAGCCCGGAGAUGGAUUCUGAGACACGAAUCCAGGCCCUACGGGGUGCAGCAGGCGCGAAAACUUUACGAUGCGGGAAACCGUGAUAAGGGAAUCUCGAGUGCCAGCAUAUAAUGUUGGCUGUCCAGAUGCCUAAAAAGCAUCUGUUAGCAAGGGCCGGGCAAGACCGGUGCCAGCCGCCGCGGUAACACCGGCGGCCCGAGUGGUAACCGCUAUUAUUGGGUCUAAAGGGUCUGUAGCCGGCCAGGUAAGUCCCUUGGGAAAUCUGGCAGCUCAACUGUCAGGCUGCUAGGGGAUACUGUUUGGCUUGGGACCGGGAGAGGUGAGAGGUACCUUGGGGGUAGGGGUGAAAUCUUGUGAUCCUCGGGGGACCACCAGUGGCGAAUGCGUCUCACCAGAACGGGUCCGACGGUGAGGGACGAAAGCUAGGGGCACGAACCGGAUUAGAUACCCGGGUAGUCCUAGCCCUAAACGAUGCUCGCUAGGUGUCACUCACGGUGCGACCGUGAUUGGUGCCGUAGGGAAGCCGUGAAGCUGGCCACCUGGGAAGUAUGGCCGCAAGGCUGAAACUUAAAGGAAUUGGCGGGGGAGCACUAC